AUUGAACGCUGGCGGCAGGCCUAACACAUGCAAGUCGAACGAGUGGCGGACGGGUGAGUAAUGUCUGGAAAACUACCUGAUGGAGGGGGAUAACUACUGGAAACGGUAGCUAAUACCGCAUACCAUCAGAUGUGCCCAGAUGGGAUUAGCUUGUUGGUGUGGUAACGGCUAACCAAGGCGACGAUCCCUAGCUGGUCUGAGAGGAUGACCCGGUACACUGGAACUGAGAACCGGGCCAGACUCCUACGGGAGGCAGCAGGGGGGAAUAUUGCACAAGGGGCGCAAGCCUGAGACAGCCAUGCCGCGUGUGUGAAGAAGGCCUUCGGGUUGUAAAGUACUUUCAGCGGGGAUGCGUUACCCGCAGAAGAAGCACCGGCUAACUCCGUGCCAGCCGCCGCGGUAAUAC
rnacentral:rRNA from 1 species